AACGAACGCUGGCGGCGUGCUUAACACAAGCAAGUCGAACGGUGAGAGCGGAGCUUGCUCCGCUGGAUCAGUGGCGAACGGGUGAGUAACACGUGGGCAACCUGCCCCUGACUUCGGGAUAACUCCUCGAAAGAGGUGCUAAUACCGGAUACGAAUCCUGCAGGCAUCUGCGGGAUUGGAAAGUUUUUCGGUCAGGGAUGGGCCCGCGGCCUAUCCGCUUGUUGGUGAGGUAGUGGCUCACCAAGGCGACGACGGGUAGCCGGCCUGAGAGGGCGACCGGCCACACUGGGACUGAGACACUGCGCAGACUCCUACGGGAGGCAGCAGUGGGGAAUAUUGCGCAAUGGGCGAAAGCCUGACGCAGCAACGCCGCGUGAGGGAUGACGGCCUUCGGGUUGUAAACCUCUUUCAGCAGGGAAGAAGCGAAAGUGACGGUACCUGCAGAAGAAGCACCGGCUAACUACGUGCCAGCAGCCGCCGUAACAC
rnacentral:rRNA from 1 species